GGUUAAGCGACUAAGCGUACACGGUGGAUGCCUAGGCAAUCAGAGGCGAUGAAGGACGUGCUAAUCUGCGAUAAGCGUCGGUAAGGUGAUAUGAACCGUUACAACCGACGAUUUCCGAAUGGGGAAACCCAGUGCAAUUCGUUGCACUAUCGUUUGAUGAAUACAUAGUCAAACGAAGCGAACCGGGGGAACUGAAACAUCUCAGUACCCCGAGGAAAAGAAAUCAACCGAGAUUCCCCUAGUAGCGGCGAGCGAACGGGGAGCAGCCCAGAGUCUUAAUCAGCAUUAGCAUCAGGAGAACGGUCUGGAAAGUCCGGCAGUAAAGGGUGAUAGCCCCGUAUCCGAAGGUGUUAGUGUUGUGAACUCGACGAGUAGGGCGGGACACGUGUUAUCCUGUCUGAAUAUGGGGGGACCAUCCUCCAAGGCUAAAUACUCCUGAUUGACCGAUAGUGAACCAGUACCGUGAGGGAAAGGCGAAAAGAACCCCGGCGAGGGGAGUGAAAUAGAACCUGAAACCGUGUACGUACAAGCAGUGGGAGCCUUGAUUUAUCAGGGUGACUGCGUACCUUUUGUAUAAUGGGUCAGCGACUUAUAUUCUGUAGCAAGGUUAACCGAAUAGGGGAGCCGUAGGGAAACCGAGUCUUAACUGGGCGAAUAAGUUGCAGGGUAUAGACCCGAAACCCGGUGAUCUAGCCAUGGGCAGGUUGAAGGUUGGGUAACACUAACUGGAGGAC
rnacentral:rRNA from 1 species